AUGAAAAGGGCUUUGCCAGCAUCUCUUUAAGUAAGUGUGCAGAAAUGAUGUCCUUCAAAAUCCCUGUUCCCCACGUGGUUGCCGUGACAUGGAGACGCAGAGGGGGACAGUGUUGCUGCUCAGGGCUGCCCUGACAAAGGGCCGCAGACUGGGGGCUCCAACAACAGAAGUCUGGCUUCUCAGAGCCCGGAGGCAGGAAGUCUGAGAUCUAGUUUUGGAAAUAAAGGAAAAGAAUGUCUUGCUAAAUCAACAAAGCUGCUGUAUCAUUGUUCAUUUGGCCAGGCAAUUCCUCAUGGGACCAGUAAUAAGCUUCAGCUCGGCCAAACCCAUUUUUGAUAGCAAUCAAGAUGAUUUACCAUUUAAAGUAUUCAGCACUUCUAAGACCUGGUUGAGGAGUUCACGAACAGCAGGCAGAGCUGGGCAGAAGAGAUCAAGACAGACGGGACCUCAGCGAUCAUGGGUUCCAGCCUUUUCCUUUCACAGGUGAGGACACUGAGGAUGCCUGGGAGAAGGAACUUGCUGGAGGUCCCUGCGAGGGUGUCUGAGAGAGUGAAGUUUCAAACUUGAUCUUCAAGAAAACAGACUAUCUAUCUGAGGCUCUAUUAGAAGGACUGGUGCUCAGUGACUUCCGAAUUGGGAAAUCUUUAAUACGCACGUGGAGACAUGGCAUAGUUUCCAGGCUUAAAAAGAUGGGGCUUUUCCACCCAGAGCUGGACGUCUCCCCGUUUUAUUUUCUGUGACCAUAAGUUGUAACCAGCCCAUAACUGCUCCCCUCCCGUCCCUGCGGUGGCUGUGGGUGGCUGCCUGUCACCACGGCCAUGGCUCUGUGGAUUUUCCCAGAGUGGACACCGGGCCCAGGCCCACGGUUCUCAUGUAAUGGCUUCGGCUGCCUGGGUUCGAGGCUCAGCAGCACUGUCUGGAGGAAGGUUUCUGAGCCCAGCGUGGGAUGGGUCCAGCCUGCCUCAGAGGGGGUGCCCUCGGCUCUGGGGGACCCACUCUCCAAGACCUUUAUCAAGAAUCCACUGCGUCAGAGCACUUUGGGGGCCUCGAAUGUUGUAUCAUUUCCAGUGAAGCCGACCUUAGGCAGUUGUGGCCCAGAAGGGUGUUUGCACUCUAUUCCUUAGAAGAGUGGGACCUCAGCCCUCUCACCACCACCAUGAGACCCUCGAGAGGAAAUGGGUUUGGUGGGAGGGUCUGAGUUUGGAGGGCUUGGAGAACUGUGGAGGUAAAACCGAGCACAGCUGGAGCGGGGUACUCUUGUCAGAAAGCAAGGGGCUUUGGGACAAGUUAUCCAAAGCCAGGGGCGGCUCCCCACUUGCUGGGAACGCAUAGCAUUCUCUCGGGCUGCUGAUGCUGGGCCUGGCUGUGGAAGGGGCCCCGUCCUGGGCCUCUGUUCAGAGGGUGUGCAGGAGGCCCUGUGGAGAGUGCUGGGCCGAGGGGCUGCAGUGCUGAAGUCACGCCCGGAUGGGAUUCCUGCAGCUCUGACUGGGGCUUUCCACCUGGGGCACCAGGGGCAAGCCCCGCCCCUUUGGGUGGCAUCUCCCUGGGAAGGGACAGGCAUGGUGGGCCUGCCCCAGACCCUUCCCUCUCUGACCGUCUGGCCUUCUCACCGGGGUUCAGACCCUGGGCUCCUCCCACCUGUGCCCCUGCCUUUGCCUUCUGGACUUUGUGUCUGCUUGCGCCCAGGCCCUCCCCUUGCCCCAGUGGACUUGGGUCUGGCUUCUCCCACAUGGUGGCCUCUAGGAGCACCUGUGGCCCAUUUUUAGCCCUCUGAACCCAACCCUUCCCACCAAGCUGCCCCAGCGUCCCCGAGGGGGCAGCAGACAUGCCUUUUUCUGGUUAAUCCUCCGGAGGGGACAUGGGCAGGAUAUUUUCCUACAAACCAGCUGACCUGUAUGCAGGUGAGGCUUCCUCAAAUCCUCUAGCCCCAGUGAUGGACCGGCGGCCGGAAGACUGAGGUGGGAUCCUCGGAAGGCUUCCAGGAAGUGGUAGAAACGUUUCCAGAAAGGUUUAAUUGUUCUUAGAGGCCACAUCUUCCUCGUCUUGGAGAUGGCGCCGCAGCCCUGGCUGUCUCCCAAACUAGAGAGCAGAGAGUCCUGCUUCCAGUCGCCGUCACUUAAGCCCGACAUCCUCCUGCAGCCCAGUCCUGGUUAUUCUCCCCAGUGACCUUUCCAGCCUCUACUCUGCUCCCACUCCCACCACCUGGGCUCAGGCCUUCACUGUGUAUUGUAUAUUCGUUGUAUAUUGUAUAUUCGUCAUGGAUUUUAUAUUCUAUAUUGUAGAGCCAUUGCAUGUUGUAUUCUCAUCGUAUGUUGUAUACACACCGUGUGUUGUAUAUUCAUUGCAUUUUGUCUAUUACAUGUUGUAUGCUAAUCAUCUGUUGUAUACUCAUCCAUUGCAUAUUCAUAUUUCAUAUUCCUUGUAUAUUGUAUAUUGCAGACUCAUAUAUUGUAUAUUUACAUGUUGCAUCCAUCAUAAUUGAAGACUCAUUGUAUAUGUCCAUAUGUUGCAUAUUCAUCAUGUUGCAUACUCAUGUUACAUAUUCAUCAUGUUUUGCAUAUUCAUGUGUUGCAUAUUCAUCCUAUGUUGCAUACUCAAGUGUUGCAUAUUCAUGUGUUGCAUGCUCAUUGUAUAUUGCAUGCUCACUGUACAUUGUAUAAUCAUCAUAUGUUGCAUAUUCAUCUUAUGUUGCAUA